CCUACGGCGGCAGCAGUGAGGAAUAUUGGUCAAUGGUCGGAAGACUGAACCAGCCAUGCCGCGUGCAGGAAGAAUGCCUUAUGGGUUGUAAACUGCUUUUAUAUGGGAAGAAUAAGGUGUACGUGUACAUUGAUGACGGUACCAUAUGAAUAAGCAUCGGCUAACUCCGUGCCAGCAGCCGCGGUAAUACGGAGGAUGCGAGCGUUAUUCGGAAUCAUUGGGUUUAAAGGGUCUGUAGGCGGGCUAUUAAGUCAGGGGUGAAAGGUUUCAGCUUAACUGAGAAAUUGCCUUUGAUACUGGUAGUCUUGAAUAUCUGUGAAGUUCUUGGAAUGUGUAGUGUAGCGGUGAAAUGCUUAGAUAUUACACAGAACACCGAUUGCGGAGGCAGGGGACUAACAGACGAUUGACGCUGAGAGACGAAAGCGUGGGGAGCGAACAGGAUUAGAUACCCGGGUAGUC
rnacentral:rRNA from 1 species